UACGAAGGGGGCUAGCGUUGCUCGGAAUCACUGGGCGUAAAGGGUGCGUAGGCGGGUCUUUAAGUCAGGGGUGAAAUCCUGGAGCUCAACUCCAGAACUGCCUUUGAUACUGAGGAUCUUGAGUUCGGGAGAGGUGAGUGGAACUGCGAGUGUAGAGGUGAAAUUCGUAGAUAUUCGCAAGAACACCAGUGGCGAAGGCGGCUCACUGGCUCAUUACUGACGCUCAGGCGCGAUAGCGUGGGGAUCAAACAGG
rnacentral:rRNA from 1 species